AUACCACCCCUGUGGUUUCGCACUUUUUCACUUUAGUACCCUGUGGUUUAAAGUGUAUCAAGUUAGCGUCCUGUAGUUUCAUUUUUGUUUUUUCGUUAAUUUUUCUAUUAAUAUUUCGUGAAAUUACAUACAAAAAACUUUAAUUACUCCACCUGGGUUUAUCGAGUAUUCACUUAUUUAGUACCCUUUAGUUUUAACUUUGUCAUUUAUUUAAUGAAAAAAAUUAGUAGAAUCGAUAAUAAAAAGAUAAAAAUAAAAUCACAUGACACUAAAUUGAUACACUUUAAAUCACAUGGUACUAAAGUGAGAAAAUGUGUAACCACUAGGUGACUAGGGUGAUAUUUGAAGUUUUUUUUAAAAAAAAAAAAGGUUGGGGACUCAAGUGGAAAAUAUUAAUGAUGCAAAGGUUGGGGACGAGCGAUGUAAUUAA
rnacentral:lncRNA from 1 species